rnacentral:rRNA from 1 species
AAUGAACGUUGGCGGCAUGGAUUAGGCAUGCAAGUCGGGGGAAUCCCAGCAAUGGGGGAACCGGCGUAAGGGGCAGUAAGGCAUGGGUACCUACCUUGGGGUUCGGGAUAGCCAUCAGAGAUGGUGGGUAAUACCGGAUGACGUCGUGAGACCAAAGAUUCAUCGCCCUUAGAGGGGCCCAUGGGAUAUUAGCUAGUUGGUGGGGUAACGGCCCACCAAGGCGAAGACGUCUAGCGGGUGUGAGAGCACGACCCGCGCCACUCGCACUGAGACACUGGCGAGACACCUACGGGUGGCUGCAGUCGAGGAUCUUCGGCAAUGAGCGCAAGCUUGACCGAGCGAUGCCGCGUGAGCGAUGAAGGCCUUCGGGUUGUAAAGCUCUUUAGUGGGGGAGAAAAGCCGCAAGGUGUGAUCUAUCCCAAAAAUAAGCACGGGCUAAGUUCGUGCCAGCAGCCGCCGUAA